CCUACGUGUGGCAGCAGUGAGGAAUAUUGCACAAUGGGGGAAACCCUGAUGCAGCGAGGCCGCGUGGGGGAAGAAGUAUUUCGGUAUGUAAAGCCGUAUCAACAGGGAAGAAGCAGUGACAGUACCUGAGUAAGAUUCACCGGCUAAAUACGUGCCAGCAGCCGCGGUAAUACGUAUGGUGCAAGGGUUAAUCGGAAUUACUGGGCGUAAAGUGCUCGUAGGCGGUAUGUAAAGUCAAGGGUGAAAUCCCCGGGCUCAACGUGGGAACUGCCUUUGAAACUGGCAAACUGGAGUGUGCGAGAGGAUAGUGGAAUUCCAGGUGUAGGAGUGAAAUCCGUAGAUAUCAGGAGGAACAUCAGUGGCGAAGGCGACUAUCUGGCACAUAACUGACGCUGAGGAGCGAAAGCGUGGGUAGCAAACAGGAUUAGAUACCCCUGUAGUC
rnacentral:rRNA from 1 species